AUUCGGUUGGAACGAUCUUUGCAUAUGAGAGACCUAAAUACUAAAAAAAUUAUAGAGUUAAUUUAUGAUUUGAUUACCUAAAGCACAAAUGACCUAUCCUACGAUUUAAGAUAUUUAUAUAUAUACAAUACUUAUCAAACAAAAGUUGACAACACUUCUAGUCGUUACUCUUUACUCGUUGCGCAACCAGUAUAUCUUUAAUAUGGUCUUAGAAAUUCUUCUGAGGCUGUGUCUUUAAUCGUGCCUAGUACUUACUACAUAACUUCUCAGUUCUGUUCUGACCCUCUCAAUUCCCACUUAUUGAUACUCUAGACUUAUAAAAAAAAACACUUUACAAAGCCUCUCCAAUGUUAAGAGGAUCAUAAGAUCAAAGCAACUUAUAACUUAACUAUAGUUUAAUAUUUUAUAUUUCAAAUUAAAAGUCUUAAGUUGAAUAAACACUUCAAAUUCGCAAAUACCUUAUAGGUAUUUUUAUUAGAAUAUUUUGUUCACUAACUUGUUUCUAAUUCAGUUAACAUGACAAUAAUAUAUUAAUAAGUCAGUCAAUCGUUUUUGAUGCAAAUUUGAUCAUUUUUAACCAUAUUUCUUGCAGAUGGCUGAUAAGUAGUAAUAUACAAUUAAGGUUGAGUCUAACUGUUGUGUAGUAAAUAUUUGAUUAUUAUUUGUCACACAUUUGAAUAAAAUUAUAGAAACACCGAGGACAAGUUUCAUUGUUCAAAUGGACUGUGUAUUGAAUUGUUGUGGGUUUGUGAUGGUCAUAAGGAUUGUUCAGAUGGUUCAGACGAGACAAAAGUUUUAUGUGUUCUAUUGCCUCUGCACGAUUAUGGAACAAAUAUGACCAUAGGUUAUGGUAGAGCAUAUGUUGAAAAAAACGUAUUGUUUCCCAAUGUCAAAAAAAAUAAUAUAGGAACGGCACCUUGGUAUGUUGCAAUAUAUAAAUUAAUGGAUAUGUGGAGGAUCAUUUAUUACUCCAAAUCUGCUCGUUGUGUUCAGAAAAAUGAUGAUAUGUUAUCUGAGUUAAUAUCAGUAAAUAAUGGCCUAUACAGAAUUGCUGUUGGAAAAUAUACUAAAGAUAUUAAAGAUAUUAAAGUAAUCAACAGUGAAUUUAUUAAAAUAAUAAAUGUAGAAAUGAUUUACCUGAAUGAACAUCAUACACCUCUUACUUUGUCGUAUGCUGAACGUAUAGCUAUAAUUGUAUUACAAAACUGAGUUUCUUUUAAUGAUGUUGUAGCACCUGUUGUAUCGAUUGGAAUGGUGAAUACAAUGUGGUCAAGGGAGAUCAAGGGAAUGUUGAUUGUUUUUUGGGGAAAAA